UACCUAUCAUCUAACCGCCUUGUUCUCUGGGGUAAGCUGACAUUUACCCAAAUACCCUGAUCCCAGAGGCAAGCUGCGGUCUACCCAAACACGCAGACCCCUCAGGUAAGCUCACAUCCACCCAAAUGCCCUAACCCCAGAGGUAGGCUGCCUUUGACCCAGCCCCCUGACCCCUGAGGUAACCUCGCUUCCACCUAAACACUCUGAUCUCAGAGGCAAGCUGACAUUUGCCCAAACACCCUGAUCACAGAAAUAAGCUGCCAUCCACCUAAACGACCUACCCCUAGAGGUAAGCUGACAUCCAUCUAACUGCCUUGAUCCUAGGCUGCCCCAGUACGUCUAGGUGGUGACAAUCCAUCCUACAGGGUUGACAUGAUGUGCUUUCCUGAAGCACACAAAGGACACCUCGGGUUUUAUGAAGGUGUAUGACAGUGUUUUAGCCCGACCCUUGUGCAGAGGUCGGAAGUCUGCGGUUUAGCUCUGCUCGGCUCAUCCCGGAUUGGCGGACGGCGGACGUCGGGACCACGGCGGCGGAAGGACUCUGCUCCAGCGGCGACGUCGGUGGACCUUCCCGGAUGGCAACGGCCGGCGGACCAUCGAGGAAGCCCUUCAGCGGGCCGUGGCUGGUAGCAGGCGGUGGCCUGCGGAAUACCGCCCGGUUCUGCUGGAGGGCUGAGGAGGAGGUGGGCACCUUCCCCGACCGGCUGGCCUUCAUCCGGGAGGUGGCCUUUGGAGCGUUGGGCCUUCAGAUGCAGGACAUCCUCUGCGUACAGCGGAAUGGGCCCUUCCGCUUCUUCGAGGUCACCUUGUCCACCGACGAGAGUUACACCAAGGUCCUGGAGCGGAGCAAGGAGGGGGCCCAGCACCCCCUCCUCGGACGUUACAACAUCGAGCCGCUGUGGUGGCCCGACAAGCGGCCUCCCUUCUGCCGGCAGUGCCACAGUUUUGGACACACCCUGGAGGGAUGCGCCAACCUGCGCUGCCGCAACUGCCUGGAGUCGGGGCACAUGGCCAGGGACUGCAAGGGCCCCCGUCGCUGCAAACACUGUAACGGCGAGGACCAUCUGGCUCGUUCCUGCCCACAGAAAAAGACUACAUAUGCCGACGCUCUGUCGGGUAACAGAGCAGUCGGCACGGAGAAUGGUGGGGGAGCUCUAGCCCCCACGACUGGGCAGGAACAGCCGGCGACGGGGGCAGGAGGAGAAGCCCUGGUCGAGGUGGAGGAGGCCCCUUCGAGUGCGACACCAAUGCAGGAGGGGUCUCCGAACAAGGUGGAGCAGCUCGCCCUGGCUCCAGGCGUCAGCAGCAGGAGGAAGAAGAGCGGUGCAUCCCCCCGGGGGAGGAAGAAGAGCAGAAGGGAGGCGCAACCCGACGCAUCCAGCCCUCCGCCGGCCACCUCGCCAGCAGUGGCGGCCGGGGACCAAGGCCGACAGUGUCCCCCCUCCCCGAUGUUAGAGGCCCCCCGUCUGGUGUGGGACUUGGGACAGUCCCCUGCACCCCCCCAGGAGUACAGCGGUCAACAGGACACUGCUAAUGAACAGGAGUACCUGGGGGGGCUGGAAUUGGGGGACCUUUUGAGGUUGACUGAGGAGGGGGGGCAGUAGGACAGUAUUGUUUUUAAUGGCUGGCUUUUAUUAUUUUAGUUUGUUGUUUUUAAUUGUAUUUUAUUAUUUUAACAUUCUAUGGCCAAUUUUAAUAUUGUCACCUUGAAUGUAAGGGGUUUGAGGAACAUUUUAAAACGUACAUCUGUUUUUAACCAGCUGGCAUCUUCUCCCUUCAGCAUUUGUUUUCUGCAGGAAGUCCACCUCCGGGACCAGCGGGACGAGGCUCUCUUUUCACGACAGUGGAAGAGGGGUAGAUCCUACUGGAGCGUAGGUGGCGUCCACUCCUCAGGCGUCGGGAUCCUUUUUGGCGACCGCGCCUUUGAAGAAAGCCAGGGAAGCCCGGGAGGAGAAGAGCUUUAGCUCUCUCCGUGCCUCAAAUGGCAGUAUAGUCAAGGAUACAUCAGACAUGCUGGAGGUUGCUAAAUUGUUUUACCUUAACCUUUUUAAUGUUAGGGAUACGGACCCGGUUGCUGGGGAGCGCUUCCUAGAUAACAUCUCACCUUGUCUUCCCAGUGACAUCCGGGACGGCUUAGAAGCCCCCAUCACCUUGGCCGAGCUGACCGCAGUGCUUGGCAAGAUGAACCGCCGCAAGGUACCUGGCCUUGAUGGGCUCCCGGUGGAAUUUUAUUCCACCUUUUGGGAUGUCCUCGGGCCGGAAUUACUGCAGGUUGUAGAGGACGUUCAGCGCCGGGGUUUGCUCACUAGGAGCAUGAGGUCGGGGGUCCUCUCUUUGUUGCACAAGAAGGGCGAUCGGGCCGACCUUGGCAACUGGAGGCCCCUGACCAUGCUUUGUGUAGACACAAAGCUCAUCGCAAAGACCCUUACCGAACGCCUGAAGAAGGCCAUGGCUCAUCUGGUUCACAGCGACCAGACGUGUGGAGUACCGGGUCGAUCGGCGACGUGGAAUCUCCACCUCAUCCGCGACGCCAUCGCCUGGGUGGAGGAUAGGAACCUCCCUCUCCUGCUGGUCAGCUUGGACCAGGAGAAAGCCUUCGACCGGGUAGAUCACCGCUUCCUGUUCAAAGUAUUGGGUAAGUUUGGC